CAUCCCAUCAGAUCUGGUCGUUCUUCGCCGGAUCCAUCCAGCCUCGCGCCGAUCUGCUCCGUUCCCGGCGGCCUCCGCCCUUCUUGCCUCGUCCGCGUCAAGUCCUGCCGGCGCCAUGCCCAACCUCUGCGUCGGCUUCGUCCUAGAGACGAACGAACUUGUCUCGCUGCCGUUGACCGGGCCGGUUCGCCUCCAACCCACCCUGGACCGCCAAGACCCGGUUGAACCGGCCGAUUUUCCCGAGAACCAGCCCGGUCCAACCUCGCCCCGGUCCGCGUGAACCCUGCCCGGUUCGUCUCCUCCACCCAACCGGCCUCUGGGCCCAACGUGAGCGCCGUCACCUAUCCCGCGCCACGAGCAUAUUUCUGCCAUGCUUCGCCUUGCCCUGUUGCAGCCCGUUAGUGCUCAAUUUUGGCCCAUGUAGUGUUUUUUUUCUUGUUUGCGAUUUUAGCUAUUUACCGGAGCUUGCCAGUUUUAUAGAAAACCCCCCUAGCUUCAUACAUAUAAUUACUCACAGACGGUGCAUCGGAUUUAAAUAAACUUUAUAUGUAAAAUGUCUAGAAUUUUGUCUAGUUUAAUAAUAUCCAACUUUCAUCCAUGUUUAAAAUGUUUUAAAUGAUGUUUGUUUAAAUUUGCUUAAAUAACUUGUUAAAAUGUUUUAAUUCAUAACUAUUUAAUUGUAGCUCCAAAUUUAACAAAAUUUAUAUGUAAUUGGGGUAGAAAAAUGCCUAGUUUAACAUGGUGGCUUCACCUUGCAUGUUUAACCACUCUAAAAUUGUGUUUAGGGCAGAACAGCACCAAACCUAAUAUAUGCAUAUGAGGAGUUUCCGGACUUGUUGUUUUGUUGUUCCGGCCUCAUUUAAACUUGCCUAGAUUAGAUAGUUUCAUCAUGCUUCACCUCUUGUCAUGCUAACAACAUUUAAUAUUGUUGGGUACAUAAACAAGAUCGAACUAAAUAAUUGAUGUGGUGUUUUCGUCAAUAUGCAACUCGUUGCAUAAUGAGCUCCACUUAAUUUGUAGGAUUGCUUGUGCAUUUUGACAUGUCAUGCCUCAUUAAAUCGGACAUGCAUCAUACUUGUUUGCGCAUCGUGCCAUGUUCAUGUCAUGGUUAUUUACUAUGUUGUGUGCUUCUUUCCGGUGUUUGCUUCCUCGGGUUGGUUCCGGUAACGUCGCGUUUGUGAGGAACCGUUCGACUACGUCCGUUUGUUCUUCUUCAUGGACUCGUUCUUCUUCCUUGCGGGAUUUCAGGCAAGAUGACCAUAUCCUUGAAAUCACUUCUAUCUUUGCUUGCUAGUUGCUCGCUCUUUUGCUAUGCCUAUGCUACGAUGCCUACCACUUGCUUAUCAUGCCUUUUAUAUUGUUGAACCAAGCCUCUAACCCACCUUGUCCUAACAAACCGUUGAUUGGUUAUGUUACCGCUUUGCUCAGCCCCUCUUAUAGCGUUGUUAGUUGUAGAUGAAGAUUGAAGUUUGUUCCUUGUUGGAACAUGGAGAUGUUGUUCCUUGUUGGAACAUGUUUACUUGUUGGGAUAUCACACUAUCUCUUAUUUAAUUAAUGCAUUUAUAUACUUGGUAAAGGGUGGAAGGCUCGGCCUUAUGCCCGGUGUUUUGUUUCACUCUUGCCGCCCUAGUUUCCGUCAUAUCGGUGUUAUGUUCCCGGAUUUUGUGUUCCUUACGCGGUUGGGCUAUAAUGGGAACCCCUUGACAGUUCGCCUUGAAUAAAACUCCUCCAGCAAUGCCCAACAUUGGUUCUACCAUUUGCCACCUAGCCUUUUCUUUCCCUUGGGUUCUACAGACUCAAGGUCAUCAGUAUUUUAACCCCCCCGGGCCAGUGCUUCUCUGAGUGUUGGUCCAAACUGUCAGCCGCCGGUGGCCACCAGGGGAAACUCUGGGCUGGCCUACCGGAAGUUUGGACAAUCCGAGUGUGCUCUGAGAACGAGAUAUGUGCAGCUCCUAUCGGGAUUUGUCGGCACAUUCGGGCGGUGUUGCUGGAUUUGUUUUAACUUGUCGAAAUGUCUUGUAACCGGGAUUCCGAGUCUGAUCGGUCUUCCCGUUAGAAGGUCUAUUCCUUCGUUGACCGUGAGAGCUUGUCAUGGGCUAAGUUGGGACCCCCUGCAGGGAUUGAACUUUCGAAAGCCGUGCUCGCGGUUAUGGGCAGAUGGGAUUUUAUUAACGUCCGGUUGUAGAAAACCUGAAGUUGACCUUAAUUAAAAUACAUCAAUCGCGUGUGUUACCGUGAUGGUCUCUUUCUGGCGGAGUCCGGGAAGUGAACACAGUGUUGGAGUUAUGUUUGGCGUAGGUUGUUCUAGGAUCACUUCUUGAUCAUAGUUUCUCGAUCGUGCUUUGCCUUCUCUUCUCGCUCUCAUUUGUGUAUGUUAGCCACCAUAUAUGCUAGUCGCUUGCUGCAGCUCCACCUCAUACCUUUACCUUACCCAUAAGCUUAAGUAGUCUUGAUCGCGAGGGUGCGAGAUUGUUGAGUCCCCGUGACUCACAGAUACUUCCAAAAUCAGCUUGCAGGUGCCGAUGAUGCCAUUCCAGGUGACGCAACCAAGCUCAAGGAGGAGCUCGAUGAAGACCUUGUCCUUUGUGUUGUUUCGUUCUAGUUGAUCAGUAGUGAAGCCCAGUUGGGGUCGAUCGGGGACCUUGUCGCUUUUGCGGUUCUUCUUUUAUUUUGGUUCCGUAGUCGGACCUUGAUUGUAUCUGGUUGAUGUAAUGUUUUAUUUAUGUAAUUGUGUGAAGUGGUGAUUGUAAGCCAACUAUGUAUCCUUUUCUCUUAUGUAUUACAUGAGUUGUAUGAAGAUUACCUCACUUGCGACAUUGCUUUCAAUGCGGUUAUGCCUCUAAGUCGUGCUUCGACACGUGGGAGAUAUAGCUGCAUCAAGGGCGUUACAAUUGGAUUACAAAG
rnacentral:lncRNA from 1 species